rnacentral:rRNA from 1 species
UAACAAGGAUUCCCCUAGUAACUGCGAGUGAAGCGGGAAAAGCUCAAAUUUUGAAUCUGGCGGGGCCGUCCGAGUUGUAAUCUAGAGAAGCGUCUUCCACGCUGGACCGUGUACAAGUCUCCUGGAAGGGAGCGUCAUAGAGGGUGAGAAUCCCGUCUUUGACACGGAUGUGAUGCGCUCUCGACGAGUCGAGUUGUUUGGGAAUGCAGCUCAAAACGGGUGGUAAAUUCCAUCUAAAGCUAAAUACAGGCGAGAGACCGAUAGCGAACAAGUACCGUGAGGGAAAGAUGAAAAGAACUUUGGAAAGAGAGUUAAACAGUACGUGAAAUUGCUGAAAGGGAAACGCUUGAUGUCAGUCGCGUCGACCGGGGAUCAACCUUGCGCUUGGUGUACUUCCUGGCUGACGGGUCAGCAUCAGUUU